rnacentral:rRNA from 1 species
GAUGAACGCUGGCGGCGUGCCUAAUACAUGCAAGUCGAGCGAACAGACGAGGAGCUUGCUCCUCUGACGUUAGCGGCGGACGGGUGAGUAACACGUGGAUAACCUACCUAUAAGACUGGGAUAACUUCGGGAAACCGGAGCUAAUACCGGAUAAUAUAUUGAACCGCAUGGUUCAAUAGUGAAAGACGGUUUUGCUGUCACUUAUAGAUGGAUCCGCGCCGCAUUAGCUAGUUGGUAAGGUAACGGCUUACCAAGGCAACGAUGCGUAGCCGACCUGAGAGGGUGAUCGGCCACACGGGAACUGAGACGCGGUCCAGACUCCUAAGGGAGGCAGCAGUAGGGAAUCUUCCGCAAUGGGCGAAAGCCUGACGGAGCAACGCCGCGUGAGUGAUGAAGGUCUUCGGAUCGUAAAACUCUGUUAUUAGGGAAGAACAAAUGUGUAAGUAACUAUGCACGUCUUGACGGUACCUAAUCAGAAAGCCACGGCUAACUACGUG